UACAGAGGGGGCAAGCGUUGUUCGGAAUUACUGGGCGUAAAGGGCGCGUAGGCGGCCUGUUAAGUCGAACGUGAAAUCCCCGGGCUCAACCCGGGAACUGCGUCCGAUACUGGCAGGCUUGAAUCCGGGAGAGGGAUGUGGAAUUCUUGGUGUAGAGGUGAAAUUCGUAGAUAUCAGGAAGAACACCAGUGGCGAAAGCGGCGACCUGGCUCGAUACUGACGCUCAUGCACGAAAGCGUGGGGAGCAAACAGG
rnacentral:rRNA from 1 species